rnacentral:rRNA from 1 species
UUGCACACCGGCGACGUUAAUCACAUCCCGAAAAGAUGCCUAACUUCGGAUUGCACUCUGCCACUCCCGUGCAUGAAGCUGGAAUUACUAGUAAUCGUGGAUCACCGUGCCACGGUGAAUGCGUUCCCGGGUCUUGUACACACCGCCCGUCACACCAUGGGAGUUGGUUCUACCUUAAGGCAAGGUUUUAAACCCUUGACCACGGUAUAAUCAGCGACUGGGGUGAAGUCGUAACAAGGUAACCGUA